GGUCUGAUUCUGGCUCAGAUUGAACGCUGGCGGGAUGCUUUACACAUGCAAGUCGAACGGCAGCAUCGACUUCGGUCUGGUGGCGAGUGGCGAACAGGUGAGCAAUGUAUCGGAACGUGCCUAGUAUGGGAUAACUACGAAAGCGUAGCUAAUACCGCAUGGCCUCGGGGGAAAGCGGGGACUUUCGGGCCUCGCACUAUUAGGAGCGUGGCCGAUAUCGAUUAGCUAGUUGGUGGGGAACGCUCACCAUGGUCGAUCCGUAGCUGGUUUAGAGGGACGACCAGCCACACUGGACUGGAGAUGGCCCAGAUUCUCGCCGGGAGGCAGCAGGUGGGGAAUUUUGGACAGUGGGGAAACCCCGAUCCAGUCAUCCCGCGUGUGCGAUGUAGAAGGCCUUCGGGUUGUAAAGCACUUUUGGCAGGAAAGAACGGCACGGGAUUUAAUACCUCGUAACCGAUUGCACCCGAAUAAGCACUGGCUAACUACGCUUGUGCAGCCGCGGUAAUACGGAAAGCAAGCGUUAAUCGGAAUUACUGGGGCGCAAAGCGUGCGCAGGCGGUUCGAAAAGAAAGAUGUGAAAUCCCAGGAGCUUAACUUUGGAACUGCAUUUUUAACUACCGAGCUUUGAGUGUGUCAGAGGGAGGUGAAUUCCGCGUGUAGUAAAGUGAAAUGCGUAGAUAUGCGGAGGAACACCGAUGGCGAAGGCAGCUCUCUCAGAUAGCCACUUGAUCGUUUCCUUUAUAACAGCGUGGGGAGCAAACAGAUUGAUAUCCCGGUAGUCCACGCCCCAAACGAUGUCAACUAGCUGUUGGGGCCUUCGGGGCCUUGCAGUUAUGUUAACGCGUGAAGUUGACCGCCUGGGGAGGCACGGUCGCAAGAUUAAAACUCAAAGGAAUUGACGGGACCCGCACAAGCGGUGGAUGAUGUGGAUUAAUUCGAUGCAACGCGAAAAACCUUACCUACCUCGACAUGUCUGGAACCCUGAGAUUUGGGAGUGUCGCAAGAGAACCGGAACACAGGUGCUGUAUGCAGUUGUUGCCAGCUCGUGUCGUGAGAUGUUGGGUUAAGUCCCGCAACGAGCGCAACCCUUGUCAUUAGUUGCUACGAAAGGGCAAUUCUUAUCGAGACUGCCAGACAACCGGGAGGAGGUUGGGUGAUGACGUCAAGUCCUCAUGGCUCCUUAUGGGUAGGGGCUUCACACGUCAUACAAUGGUCGGGACAGAGGGUCGCCAACUCAUGAGGGGGAGCCAAUCCCAGAAACCCGAUUUGGUCUGAUCGCAGUCUGCAACUCGACUGCGUGAAGUCGGAAUCGCUAGUAAUCGCGGAUCAGCAUGUCGCGGUGAAUACGUUCGGUUCACACUGCCUGUCAUACCAUGCAGUGGGUUUUACCAGAAGUAGUUACCUAACCGUAAGGAGGGCGAUUACCACUUAGACAGAUUCAUGACUGGGUGAAGUCGUAACAAGGCA
rnacentral:rRNA from 1 species